rfam:Pan troglodytes isolate Yerkes chimp pedigree #C0471 (Clint) chromosome 4, whole genome shotgun sequence.
GCUGGGCAUAGUGGCACAUGCUUGUAGUCCCAGGUACUUGGGAGGCUGAGGCAGGAGGAUUGCUUAAGCCCUGGAGUUCAAGGCUGCAGUGAGCUAUGAUUGCACCACUGUGCUCUAGCCUGGGCAACAAAGCAAGACCCUGUCUCAA